CAACCGCCAUCUGAGCAAGGACUGAGUCAUGCAGUACCUCGGGAAAGCUAGGUUGGAAACCCUUGUCAACAUGCAGUCACAUCUAUGAUGACAUGAAAAGAGGAGCAAGUUGGGGAACCCUUGGUUUGGGCCUUUCCUAUUUGAAGAGUGAACGCUGCUGACCACAGAAAAGAGACUUCAAAAGCUUCAGAGGCAGACUAGGAGACGAGGAGACACACAGAUGAACGGCGGAAUGGCGCAGCAGAGAAAGAGAGAAGAGAAGGAGCAGCUGAAGGCUGAGAGGAGUUUGGCUGGGGAAAGUCGGAGAGGAGUUUGGCAACUGGACGGCCAAACUCCAGGGCAAGAUCAUCUUCCCACUCCCUCGCCGCUUUCAGCUCCCCAUCCAUCCUGCUGAGAGCCACCUCUACCACUCAA